CGUAGUGAGAGAGCAGGGCAAAAGGAGAAUUCCAGUUUACGGCGGCGUAAAUCCAUCCUAGAAUUCACGUUUAUGCCAUUUUGCGAUGAAGACGAAAACAUUGAACCCAUCAUUUUCCAUGUUCCAGCGGUGUAUAGCGAUAAAAUCAAGAUACACGAUUGGCAAAUGAAAAUUUUGUCUGAGCCUAGAGACAAUACAGAUAUAUUUCCACCGAAGGGAAACCUUCACAAAUCCUCAUAUCAAAGACUCGGUCCAGAGGAUGAAGGCACUGGAAUUUCGGAGACACGUGCCAUGUUGUCACAAAUUGGGAUGAAAGACGAGUACAAGCCGAUUACUUAUCCGCGACGCAGUUUACUUACAAUGCAAUCGUUAGCUUUGGCGGAAAAGGAUUACGAGGAAAAAGAAUUAAAAUUAACCGAUAUUCUGCUGGAUCCCAUGGCGAUUUGUCAGAUGGACUAUCGAACCAGUAUGAGCAGAGAUUAUCGUUCGCCUUAUCCUCUGAAACCGAAGCCACCACCAUCACCACCGCCACCGGAACCGUGGUUGUUAAAUCGGCGUACCAUCGGUUACAGUCCUCAAGAUUUAGAGAAUCGUUGCGGAUACCACACAUUUCUAGACGACGACAUGGAUCUUCAUCAGAGAAUAGCACAAUUAAAAAUGAGCAGAGGCAAAUUGUACGAAAUUCGAAUGUCCAUAUUCUUCGUCUUCAUUGUUGGAUCGUUUGCCGAAUCUCAUGUGACCGUAAUCGUCCAGCUGCUGGCGUUUGCUGAGUCGCAAAUUGUCCUCGUCCUCGCCGACGAGGUCCUCUACGAGGUCUUUCACGAGACCUUCCACGGCAUAUCUACGAAUGAGUCUGUGAAAUUUUUCAAAUUCUCGUUUUUGUUUGACAUCAAAAUGACAGAGAGCAAAGAGAUAAUGAUUCAGAAAGGUCUGUCGGAGUGGUGGAGCGAGGAGACGGAAUACGUACUCCAGAGGAUUGAGAAAUGGACAACUUUUAUAAGUGGUUACAAUCUUCUUCGAUCGCAGAGGUGAUCCAAGAAAAUGUUGCAAGACACCUGGAACGCUUCUUCUGAUAAAGACACGCUAUGAUUUUACAGCCUCAAAUGGUCCAAAUGGAAAUCCUGUCCGGAAGAGACCAAGAUUAAUUGCUGCAGCACGUUCAACUACCAGUCGAAUAGCAAACUUGAAAGCAAUUGUCUGGAAACUUAUCGGUACGAUCACAGUAUCUACUUCAAGACUAUCGGUGACAUCAGGAGCAACAAGAGAGACGUCAACAGAGAUCUAGAACAAGAUAGAAUGUCUACUAUCAGCGAGGAAUUGGUAGAGUGGGAUGCCAGCUCGGUCGUUGAUUUGACUGCUAAACCGAUCUCUGAAGAGAUUUGUAACAACAAUCGUCCGGACGAGCUGAAUAUUUCGGAUACCAUUGCUGAACAAGAAAAGAAUGGAACGAUGCAAAACACCUGGCCGAUUGUAGAUCUGUCGAAACUCGAUCUGGAUUUGAUGGACAAUCGAAAAAAAAAACGAACAGCUUCCUUGUCUGGUUGAUCGAGAUAAUUUUGAAAUAAACCAAAAACAAUUGGAGAAUAACAACGUGAACAGUCUGGAGGAUAAAGUGAAUUAGGAGGAUCAGGAGAAUAAGACGAAAAAUUACGAGAGGAUAGAAAAAUUUCCAUUAUUUCGAAAAAGACGAUCAUCCAUGCGAAAAUCACCAAUCAUCAGUGAAAACAAUGUUAUUUUCCGGAAAUUCUAAAUUACAAUAAAAUUUUGAAUUAUAACAACAAUUUCGAUGUUGCCGACAUCUUUGCAAGAUUAAAGUAAAAAUUGAAGUAAAACAUUGAGUAUAGAAAAAUUUAUACGUAAGUGCAUAAACGAUUGAAUUGUACGAAAUAAUAUGACGAUUUAAUUAUUUUAUGUAUUUUAUCAAUAGAAAUGCUUAUGUGCUUUCUUUCUGUAUUUGCGUGCGAUUCGCGCGCGUAAAAUUCUGCGAAUGCCUUCAUUCUGAAAGUUCCCUUUUUUUUUCCUACUCUUCCAAUAUUGUUACGUGCUUUCAUUUAUCUUUUCAUUUUAAUGUGAUGAAACAAUCACAUGACAAAUACAAAUAAUGAGAGAACAAUGUAAAAAAAGGCAAAGAAAAUAGUAUUUUAAAAUAUUUAAUAGUUUGACAAAAUGAAUAAAAUUU
rnacentral:sRNA from 1 species